UGGAGAGAUGGCCGAGCGGUUGAAGGCGCAGCACUGGAAAUGCUGUUUAGGGGUAACUUUAACGAGGGUUCGAAUCCCUCUCUCUCCGUCC
rnacentral:tRNA from 8 species